GGCCCCUUCGUCUAGUGGCCUAGGACGAAUGGUUCUCAGCCAUUAAACACGGGUUCGAUUCCCGUAGGGGCUACCA
rnacentral:tRNA from 1 species